rnacentral:lncRNA from 1 species
AGAGCAGCCUGCUUGGCUUCAAAGGGGAUGCAGAGAAGUUCGAGCUAAGCUGGUGUGACUUAGGGAAGAACAUGGUGAAGAGAUCGCCCCAUUGAAGACUCACAGCUGGAUAUUUGUGUGCCACUAGGCAGCACAUGCAUUCAUUUAACUUGAAGGAACUUUUGUCUGGGAAGAUAAAGAAUCACAGAAAUAAAGCUGCAGUUUCCAAGGUUGCAGGAGACAUCCAACCCUCAGCAACAUUCCAGAGAGAGAGGAAGCUCUGGCAAGUCAGCAUCUCAGCUCCGGGAAGCACUAUGAAAUGUCCAUAAAGUCUUCACAUAUGAAGGCUGCGCCAUGUCCACCCCAGGACAGUUGAUUCUACAAAACACCAGAAGGAUCCCUGAAGGAACACAGAUGCCUGUGCCCUACCACACACCUACUGGAUCUGCAUCUCUGCCAAGCUCCACUUUUAAACUCUGGAGUAUAAUCCUUCUGUAGAUGCAGGACAUGAAGUGGCCAAGGCCUUAAUCAGAAGAGCUCUGGGAUGAUUUCAGUUUCCACUCUUCCGCAAGUGAGGUCACUUCAUACAGCCUGAAGCCCAGUCACAGGGCAGCUCCAUGCUUGAAGACAAGGAAGAUACACAACAAAGGUGGGAUAAAAGCUGGAAGGAGGUAAAAAGCAAGCUUAUCCACUCAAGGAACAGAACCAUGCACGUCACUGAGUGGCCAGUUGUACAGUUGUAUUGAUUUGUUACCAAAAUUUUGUUUUCCUAUGUCAAUACUAUAACAACUAAGAGCUAAAAGGUUGCUUAAGCAAUCUUAGCAAAAACAAAACAAAUGAAACAAAACAAAA